rnacentral:rRNA from 1 species
GACGAACGCUGGCGGCGUGGAUUAGGCAUGCAAGUCGAACGGUAUCAUCCUUUCGGGGAUGAGAGAGUGGCGAACGGGUGAGUAACACGUAGGUGAUCUACCCUCAAGACGGGGACAACCCAGGGAAACUUGGGCUAAUACCGGAUGUGAGCUAUCGUGAGAUAGUUUGAAAGGUGGCUUCGGCUGCCGCUUGAGGAUGAGCCUGCGUCCUAUUAGCUAGUUGGUGAGGUAACGGCUCACCGAGGCAGUGAUAGGUAGGCGGCCUUAACGGGUGGUCGCCCACACUGGGAUUGAGAUACGGCCCAGACUCCUACGGGAGGCAGCAGUCGAGAAUAGUCUACAAUGGUCGAAAGACUGAUAGUGCGACGCCGCGUGAACGAAGAAGCCCUUCGGGGUGUAAAGUUCUUUUAUAUGUGAGCAGUGACAUCUAUAUUAAUAGUAUGGGUGUAGAGAUAUUAGCAUAUGAAUAAGCAACGGCUGACUCCGUG